rnacentral:rRNA from 1 species
UACGUAGGGGGCGAGCGUUGUCCGGAGUUAUUGGGCGUAAAGAGCGUGCAGGCGGCCGAGCAGGUCCGUUGUGAAAACUGAAGGCUCACCCGUCAGAGGUCGAUGGAAACCGUUCGGCUAGAGUCCGGAAGAGGAGAGUGGAAUUCCUGGUGUAGCGGUGAAAUGCGCAGAGAUCAGGAAGAACACCCGUGGCGAAAGCGGCUCUCUGGGACGGUACUGACGCUGAGACGCGAAAGCGUGGGGAGCGAACAGG